rnacentral:rRNA from 1 species
AUUGAACGCUGGCGGCAUGCUUUACACAUGCAAGUCGAACGGUAACAGGUUAAGCUGACGAGUGGCGAACGGGUGAGUAAUGCAUCGGAACGUGCCCGAUCGUGGGGGAUAACGCAGCGAAAGCUGCGCUAAUACCGCAUACGAUCUGAGGAUGAAAGCGGGGGACCGUAAGGCCUCGCGCGAUCGGAGCGGCCGAUGUCAGAUUAGGUAGUUGGUGGGGUAAAGGCCCACCAAGCCGACGAUCUGUAGCUGGCCUGAGAGGACGACCAGCCACACUGGGACUGAGACACGGCCCAGAAUCCUACGGGAGGCAGCAGUGGGGAAUUUUGGACAAUGUGCGAAAGCCUGAUCCAGCAAUGCCGCGUGCAGGAAGAAGGCCUUCGGGUUGUAAACUGCUUUUGUACGGAGCGAAAAGGUCCUUUCUAAUACAAGGGGCUCAUGACGGUACCGUAAGAAUAAGCACCGGCUAACUACGUGCCAGCAGCCGCCGCAGUAA